AACGAACGCUGGCGGCAUGCCUAACACAUGCAAGUCGAACGAGACCUUCGGGCUUAGUGGCGCACGGGUGCGUAACGCGUGGGAACCUGCCCUUGGGUUCGGAAUAACUCCCCGAAAGGGGUGCUAAUACCGGAUAAUGUCUUCGGACCAAAGGUUUAUCGCCUUUGGAUGGGCCCGCGUUGGAUUAGCUAGUUGGUAGGGUAAAAGCCUACCAAGGCGACGAUCCAUAGCUGGUCUGAGAGGAUGAUCAGCCACACUGGAACUGAGGCACGGCCCAGAAUCCUACGGGAGGCAGCAGUAGGGAAUAUUAGACAAGGGGCGAGAGCCUAAACCAGCAAUGCCGCGUGAGUGAUGAAGAGCUUAGGGUUGUAAAGCUCUUUUACCCGGGAUGAGAAUGACAGUACCGGGAGAAUAAGCACCGGCUAACUCCGUG
rnacentral:rRNA from 1 species